CUGGUUCAACUUCAUGGACAUAUAAUGUUAACAAAUUAACAGAACAAAAUAUGGAGGAGAUUCUAACUAUAGUGAAGGAAGAGACUGGCUUCAAGAUAAGAGAUUCAGACCCUUUAUUUGUUCGUAAAAUUACCAAUAAGUUCAACGAAAUGUUGAUAUCAGAUGCGGAGGUACCAAGAAUGGUAUACACCAUCAGGGAUCAGCUAGUUUCAUCCCCUACGAGAAGUGAAUGUUUUAAGCCUCGUGGGCUCGCAAGGUCCAUCGCAGUCAAGUCACGGUGUUUUGAUGCAUCUUUAGUUAUUGAUGGUGGUCUUUCCUUCACAUUCAAUGAUGGAACAAGAGCACUAUUAGAAAUCUAUGAAGAGGAUUCUCUUCGCACUGUGACUCUCUAUGAAGAUCCAACAGAAGUUUCUUUCAAGCACUGAUUUCUAGUCAUAACAAGUUUUUUUUUGAAGAGCUGAAGACAUUUGUAAAGGUGGUUUUUUUUGUGUAGACAUGUAUAUGUACUGAAAAAGGUAUGUUUAACCAUUCCCUAUUGUACAGAAUGAAGUUAGAUUUGCCCUAGGCAACUCACUGAAUUCUGUAUAUUUGGUUAUAGUUUUCAAUAUUUUGGACAAUUGCACAAUAAAUUAAAGCCUAGGACAGUUAAUAUAUUCAUCUGUUUGAUAAAAAGCUUUAAUUAUUUGGUUAAAGCAUUAGGAUUUGGUUUCUAGAUUCUUUUUGGUUUUGUGCCUGUGUGUUUUGGUUGGGGGAAUCCCCUAUUAACUUAAUCUAAUUAAAGUCAUAUGGUGGAACUAAACAUGAAAGCAUGAUUUUAAUGUGGCUAUGUGAAUCUUGUAUACAAAAUGACAAGUGCAUAGUGAUGUACAGUUUUUAUAAAUUAUGUGAUUGUAAUGGUUUUCUUUUUAGAUCACACGUGAUAAAAAAAAGUUAUUCAUUGUUAUUUUGUGAUUUUAUGACUAGCUCUUUUCCUGUCUUUCUGACAUUCACUACUUUAAUCUUUCCUUUUCUCCCUAUCACCAUAUAAGAUGUACACAGGAAAUAACGGGAUAAGAUCAUUUGCCUAUAAUAGUUGCGCUAAGUACCAACCAUUACCAUUCUGGGCCUUUGGUAAAGGACCAACAACUUUGUCUAUCAGUUAUUUUACUCUUCAAAUCUUUUAGAACUGUUCUUAUAUUAUAGUGCAGUACAGGUAUUGGUUUUUUCACUUUGACCAAUAUAUUUUACUCCAUGAUUAUCUCAUAAGUCCUCAAUUUCCUGCAAUGUGAAAGUCAACUAUUCAUUAAGUUUUCGUGUUAUACUGGAUUGAGCCAUAUUUGCGAGAAACCAUUCUGUGAGUACGUAAUUUAGUGUAAUGUAACUUAUGCCAGGCCACAAGUAAUGUAAAUAUAGUAUACGUAUCUUUAUUUC